GUGCCAGCAGCCGCGGUAAUACCGGCAGCCCGAGUGAUGGCCGAUCUUAUUGGGCCUAAAGCGUCCGUAGCUGGCCGCACAAGUCCGUCGGGAAAUCCACUCGCUUAACGAGUGGGCGUCCGGCGAAAACUGUGCGGCUUGGGACCGGAAGAUCCAAGGGGUACGUCCGGGGUAGGAGUGAAAUCCUGUAAUCCUGGACGGACCACCGAUGGCGAAAGCACCUUGGAAGGACGGAUCCGACAGUGAGGGACGAAAGCCAGGGUCUCCAACCGGAUUAGAAACCCCGGUAGUCC
rnacentral:rRNA from 1 species